rfam:Erinaceus europaeus unplaced genomic scaffold scaffold00087, whole genome shotgun sequence
GCCAGCCAGACAGUUUUGCUUGGAGCCUGUGGAGGCCACGUGGCCAUACGUUUGGGGUCUGGAGGUCUGCGUCCAAGCCAGGCACAGUGACUUGUGGGGAGACUCCUCCAAGUAAACACUGAAUUUCUGGGAAAUGUACAGAAGGCUGGACUUCUGGGAAGGG